rnacentral:misc_RNA from 1 species
UCGAGUUUUGCCGAGUAAGACGGCAUUCUCUUCACCCUUUGUUAACUAAAACGUUGCUUCGGCGAGCCGCAGACGUUGCGCGUCUGCCGUCGGUUUUUUCGAAAACGGGCGAGCGCUUGCCGAAAUUUUCUAGACCCGUUUUAUUGUAGUCUGAAAUUGGUGGGCGAGAAUUUAAUCA